GGCCUGCAGCCCUUGAGCGGCCCCGGGGCGGCGGAUGAGUCUUGUGCCAGUGGCCGGUCCGGAGCGUUUUUACCUGAAAAGGAAGAAGAGCCAAGAUUUCCUGGAGCUGCUUCGGACUUGGCUAUUGCUGUUGAUUUUACAGGCUCCCACUGUCCUGUGUGUACCAUCAUUGACAACUCUGCAGUAAAGAUGUCCAUCUACCAUGCAAACCAUACAAUGAACAGCUCCAUGGCAUCCACCUCUGAGCAUUAUCAUCCAACCUCAGAACACCAUCACCCUACAACAUCACCAGGACACAAUCAUGGAGAAGGGAUGAUGAUGAUGAUG
rnacentral:lncRNA from 1 species